GGGAGACGCUGGCAACUUCUGCCUACGGGAAGAGCGGAGUGGGAUGCGCGCGAAGCCCCAAGGACUGGCUGGCUGCCGUCCCCAAAGACCCAUCGCGUCCAGGGGUCACUCCCCCGAGGGCUCAGGAGAGAGGUAACGCGACCCCGCACGCUCCCUCCACCGCCAAACGCGGUCCAGGAGCUCGGAACGUGCAGUCAGCGGCAGGCGAAGCGCCCUGGGAGCACCUGUCCUCCCGCAGCACGUUUCCAACCCGCACACUCGUCCUCUCCCCGCGCGCCGGGUCCGCUUCUCCGCACCCCGACCUCCCCGAGCCCGAGCGCGGCCCCUAACACACGGGGGCCACCCCCAGCUUCAUGCAAAAACGAUCAUGCCAACGCACCUCCCCUCCGCACGGCUCCCUGCAACUUCAGAAACUACAGUCAACUUACCGGGACGCGGAGACCGGGAGCCCUCCGGGGUGGGGCGGGGGGACCGCGCUCGGCUGCGCGCAACCCCGCUGGCCCCGCACCGCCCGGGCGGCUGCACGGCUGCUCGGCUGCUCGGCUGCACGGCUGCUCGGCUGCACGGCUGCACGGCUGCACGGCUGCUCGGCUGCUCGGCUGCACGGCUGCUCGGCUGCACGGCUGCACGGCUAGGCGCCGCCGCUCUGCACCAGCCGCCUCGCUCCGCCGCGCCCGGGGCCGGGGGCACUGGCCAGGGCGCGGCGGCUGCGGCGGCACCGGCCGCGCGGACCCGGAGCUGCAGGCGCCGCCGACCCCGGAGCGCGGCGCUCCGAGCCCCCGGCGCGUGUCUCCGGCUCCGAGCGAACGGCCGCUCGGCGAGGACCGCGGCACCGGGAGAGCCGAGGCGCCGUGCCCCGCAGAGCCUCCGGGGGGCUCCCGGGCGGCCGGUCACAUCGCGCGCGCAGCACCGCAGUCCGCACUCGCCGCCGCGCCGCGGAGAAUGACAGGCGCCGAGGCGGAGCAGCCGUGCGGGGCGCGGGGCGCCAGUGCGCAUGAUCCCGGCCGGCUGCGGCACGUCACGGGGGAGGGGGAGGGCGGGGAGGGGAGGGGAGGGAGGGGGAGGGCGGGGAGGGGGCGCGCUGGGCGGGGCCGGGGCGGGGGCGGGGGCCUGGCGCCGCGCCCCGCUCCGCUCCCUAGCGGGGAGGCGCAGGAAGUCUCCGCCUCGGGGUUCUGCGAGCCCUAG
rnacentral:lncRNA from 1 species